GUGCAGCAGUCGAGAAUACUUUACAAUGUGCGAAAGCACGAUAAGGGAACUCUGAGUGCCUCCUAAGGAGGCUGUUCAGGUGUCUAAAAAGCACCUGAAGGAAGGGCUGGGUAAGACCGGUGCCAGCCGCCGCGGUAACACCGGCAGCCCAAGUGGUAGCCACGUUUAUUGGGUCUAAAGCGUCCGUAGCCGGCUGGGUAAGUUCCUUGGGGAAAUUUGGCUGCUUAACAGUCAAGACUUUCUAGGGAAGUAACUGCCCGGCCUUGGGACCGGGGAGGAGGUCAGAGGUACUCCAGGGGUAGGGGUGGAAAUACCAUUAAAUCCUUGGGGGACCGACCGGUAGCGAAGGCGUCUGACCAGACCGGGUCCGACGGUGAGGGACGAAGGCUAGGGGC
rnacentral:rRNA from 1 species